GUGUGGGAGGAUGGGAUGAGGGGAUCCUGCUGGCUCCGGGGGCACCCUUUUGUCCCUGGGGAUUGUUCCUGGGCUCACCCCUGUUGUCCCUGGGGUUGUCCCUGGGGUCACCCCCUCUGUCGCCGGGAUGUCUCCGGGAUGUCCAGGUCGGGAGCUCGUUCUCCGUGUCCCGGCUCGGGAGCGGGGGCAGGCGGGGGCUCUGUCUGCCCUGCAGGAGCCGAGGGUUAAAUGAUCUCCGUGGUUUAAGCGUCCCAAGCGGUCCCGCUGCGCUGCGCUGGCUGUGGGUGACAGGCAGAGCCAUAAAUCGGGAGCUGUGGCUGCGGGCUGUGAGCUGACCUGGCGUGUGCCGCUCCAGACACCCAUGUGUACACACUGCUUUUCGGGAGAGAGCAAGGAAUCACAUGAUUUGUGUCAAAACAGUGUGAGUUUACUUCAGAGGUCUGGUACAGGCUGUUCCCGGUGUCCGGGGCCGGCCCCGAGACCUGGCCUUGUCCCGGCUGCAUGGUAAGGUGUGUCACGCUCAGAGGGGUAAAUCAACAUUUGCCACUCGUGCCCUCAGCAAGAAAAUAAGAUAAAAGAAAAAAAAAAGUUUCGUUCAAAGGCCUUUAAAGUACAGGCAUUUGAAUAACUGACACAGGAGAAACAGGGAGUGGGAUUUGUCAUGUUAAGAUACAGUCCCUAUUGUAAUGAUCUUGUUAACUACCGAAAUAAUGCGUGCAAAAACUACAGCAACGCAGAACUCUGUUCAUGAGCUUCCUGAAAACUCCAUACACUAACGAGAUUUUUUCUGGUGUGGGUUUAUGAUAAACUAAAAAAGUUAUCCUGUACUUGCAGUGCACUUGCAAAAGGAAUUUAUCUCCGAUGCAUUGUGGAAGUUUAUUCCACCAAGUAAUUCAGCCAAAUGCUGAGCUGUUCGACUGUUAAAGGAAUAUUCAACUUAGCUAAAGAUAGAAAACAUCUUAAAUUGGGUGUGGGCAUGUGUGGAAAAAUAUAAAAGGAGGAAGUGACUGGAUUCAGUGUAACUAUGUAUGAAUGCAACAGUUGCUUUUCUAGAAGAGAAAGGCAGAAUGUUUUUUGAUAAAGAAAAGUGUUUCAUAGUACAAUUUAGUCAUAUAUUUAAUGAUCCUAAAGCCCAUUUUUUACCCUUAAGGAAAAGAAUAAUGUAAGUUUCCUGUGUGGAGUUGGUAAUGUUUGCUUAAGUGAUGUUACCAUUGCACGGCUUGCUAAAAACAUAAUUCAUAACAGUUACUUUAGUGACAGAUUUGCCUAUUACACAGUAACAUUUUGUUAUUCAUCAUUGUUUCAGACUUUUUCCCUCCA